UACGUAGGCAGCAAACGUUGUUCGGAGUUACUGGGCGUAAAGAGUACGUAGGCGGUUUGCCAAGUUUGGUGUGAAAUCUCCUGGCUUAACUGGGAGGGUGCGCCGAAUACUGGCGGGCUUGAGUAUUGGAGAGGAAAGCGGAAUUCCUGGUGUAGCGGUGAAAUGCGUAGAUAUCAGGAGGAACACCGGUGGUGUAGACGGCUUUCUGGACAAUCACUGACGCUGAGGUACGAAAGCGUGGGUAGCAAACAGGAUUAGAUACCCUGGUAGUCCACGCCCUAAACGAUGCAAACUUGGUGUAGGCAGUUCAGUCUGUCUGUGCCGGAGCUAACGCGUUAAGUUUGCCGCCUGGGGAGUACGGUCGCAAGGCUGAA
rnacentral:rRNA from 1 species